rnacentral:rRNA from 1 species
UGGGGAAUAUUGGACAAUGGGCGCAAGCCUGAUCCAGCCAUGCCGCGUGAGUGAUGGAGGCCUUAGGGUUGUAAAGCUCUUUUAGCGGGGAAGAUAAUGACGGUACCCGCAGAAAAAGCCCCGGCUAACUUCGUGCCAGCAGCCGCGGUAAUACGAAGGGGGCUAGCGUUGCUCGGAAUUACUGGGCGUAAAGCGCACGUAGGCGGACUCUUAAGUCGGUGGUGAAAUCCUGGAGCUCAACUCCAGAACUGCCUUCGAUACUGGGAGUCUUGAGUUCGGGAGAGGUGAGUGGAACUGCGAGUGUAGAGGUGAAAUUCGUAGAUAUUCGCAAGAACACCAGUGGCGAAGGCGGCUCACUGGCCCGAUACUGACGCUGAGGUGCGAAAGCGUGGGGAGCAAACA